rnacentral:rRNA from 1 species
AAACGUAGGAGGCGAGCGUUAUCCGGAUUUACUGGGUGUAAAGCGCGUGUAGGCGGUCGUGCAAGUGGGGCGUGAAAGCUCCCGGCUCAACCGGGAGAGGACGUGGCCGAACUGCGCGACUAGAGGUAGGUAGAGGCGUGUGGAAUUCCGGGUGUAGUGGUGAAAUGCGUAGAGAUCCGGAGGAACACCAGUGGCGAAGGCGACACGCUGGGCCUGACCUGACGCUGAGAGGCGAAAGCAUGGGGAGCGAACGGGAUUAGAAACCCCGGUAGUCCAUGCCGUAAACGAUGCUGACUAGGUGUGGCGGGUAUAAACUCCUGCCGUGCCGCAGCCAACGUGGUAAGUCAGCCACCUGGGGACUACGGCCGCAAGGCUAAA